GAGGAGGUGUUGCAUUGUAUGUAAGGAAAGUAUAUACCACCACAGAAAUUAAUCUUUCAGAUAAUGGAAGCCCUGUAGAAACCGUUUGGGUGAAAAUACAAGGAGAGAGCAAUACAAAGGAUACUGUUGUAGGAGUUUAUUAUAGACCCCCUGGACAAACAGAAGAUAUGGAUGAACUAUUUAUACAUCAGAUGNCCAAGCUCUCGGGGAAACACGACCUAGUGAUUAUGGGAGAUUUUAACUAUCCGGACAUUUGUUGGGAAUCUCUCUCUGGCAAAAGUCACGGGUCCAAUAAAUUCUUAUCCUCUCUGGCAGAUAACUUCAUUUUCCAAAGGAUGGAGGAAAAAACAAGGGGGUCUGCUAUCUUGGACCUAAUCCUUACUAACAGGGAGGAAAUUGUUGAGGAAGUAAGGGUGACUGGGACCCUGGGUGGCAGUGACCAUGCUAUCAUUGAGUUUUGGAUAUCGAAGGGAGGAAGAUCUGAGAGGACUCAGACUUCAAGGUUAGACUUCAGAGGAGCAGAUUUUGAUGGACUCAGAAGGAGGGUAGGAAGGAUCCANUGGCUGGAUGUCUUAAAGGACAGAAAUGUUCAGGAAGGAUGGGAAAUUUUGAGAAAGGAGAUUCUAGAGGCACAAUCUUUAACAAUUCCUAAAAGAAGAAAGAAUGGCAAGCAUCUAAAGAGACCAGGGUGGAUGAACCCUGAACUUAAUCACUUGCUAAAAAGAAAAAAAGAAAUGUUUAAAAAAUGGAAAGAGGGGGACAUAUCAAAAGAAGAAUAUAAUGCAAUCUGCAGGAACUGCAGGAUAAGUGUCAGAAAGGCUAAAGCUAAAAAUGAAUUGAGGAUUGCAAGAGAGGCCAAAAACAAUAAAAAAGGGUUUUGGGGGUAUGUCAGAAGCAAAAGAAAAGUCAAAGAAGCUAUAGGACCUUUACAGGAUGAGAAGGGUGAUUUGGUCAAAAAUGACAUUCAGAAGGCAGAACUUCUGAACUCCUAUUUUGCAUCUGUUUUCUCUCAGAAAGGAAAUGAAACAUCAGUUGGCCUUCACUGUGCUGUUGAGGGAAUAAGAGAAUCAAGGCUCUGUAUGGACAAGGAGAAGGUGAGGGAACACUUAGCAAACUUAAAUGUAUUCAAGUCUCCAGGUCCAGAUGAAUUACAUCCUAGGGUGCUGAAGGAAUUAUCUGAUAUAAUUGCUGAACCACUCUCUGUGAUAUUUGAGAACUCAUGGAAAACAGGAGAAGUCCC
rnacentral:lncRNA from 1 species